rnacentral:rRNA from 1 species
AGUGAACGCUGGCGGUAGGCCUAACACAUGCAAGUCGAACGGCAGCACAGUAAGAGCUUGCUCUUACGGGUGGCGAGUGGCGGACGGGUGAGGAAUACAUCGGAAUCUACUUUUUCGUGGGGGAUAACGUAGGGAAACUUACGCUAAUACCGCAUACGACCUACGGGUGAAAGCAGGGGAUCUUCGGACCUUGCGCGAUUGAAUGAGCCGAUGUCGGAUUAGCUAGUUGGCGGGGUAAAGGCCCACCAAGGCGACGAUCCGUAGCUGGUCUGAGAGGAUGACCAGCCACACUGGAACUGAGACACGGUCCAAACUCCUACGGGAGGCAGCAGGGGGAAAUAUUGGACAAGGGCGGAAACCUUGUCCCGCCAAUACCGGUGGGGUGAAGAAGGCCUUCGGUUUGUAAAGCCCUUUUGUGGGGAAAGAAAAGCGGCGGGUAAAACCCCGGCUGUUUUGACGGAACCAAAAGAAUAGGAACCGCUUAACUUCUG